UAUAAACAGCCCCGCAACGGGACAGGGUGAACUCCCCCAGGCCCGAAAGGGAGCAAGGGUAAGCCUGCCGUCCCGGGUGCGGGGUAAAAUAUUGCUAUGU
rnacentral:SRP_RNA from 1 species